GGCCCCGUCGUCUAGCCUGGUUCAGGACACCACCCUUUCACGGUGGGUACAUGGGUUCGAAUCCCAUCGGGGUCA
rnacentral:tRNA from 2 species